AUGUUCAUUUCAGCAACAUAUGUCCUACAAUGGCAAUAAUACAGAGAAGGUUAGUAUGGCCCUUGCACAUGAAUGACACAAACAUUCUUGAAGCAUUCCAUACUUUA